UACGUAGGGUGCGAGCGUUGUCCGGAAUUACUGGGCGUAAAGAGCUCGUAGGUGGUUUGUCGCGUUGUCCGUGAAAACUCACAGCUUAACUGCGAGCCUGCGGUCGAUACGGGCAGGCUAGAGUUCGGUAGGGGAGACUGGAAUUCCUGGUGUAGCGGUGAAAUGCGCAGAUAUCAGGAGGAACACCGAUGGCGAAGGCAGGUCUCUGGGCCGAUACUGACGCUGAGGAGCGAAAGCGUGGGGAGCGAACAGG
rnacentral:rRNA from 1 species